AUUGAACGCUGGCGGCGUGCCUCAGACAUGCAAGUCGAACGAUUAAAGCUCUCUUCGGAGAGUGCAUAGAGUGGCGCACGGGUGAGUAACACGUAAGUAAUCUACCCUCGAGUGGGGAAUAACGUCCGGAAACGGGUGCUAAUACCGCAUAAUGCAGCGGCAUCAUAAGAUGACAGUUGUUAAAGAUUUAUCGCUUGAAGAGGAGCCUGCGGCAGAUUAGCUAGUUGGUAAGGUAACGGCUUACCAAGGCUACGAUCUGUAACCGGUCUUAGAGGACGGUCGGUCACACUGACACUGAAUAACGGGUCAGACUCCUACGGGAGGCAGCAGUCGGGAAUUUUGGGCAAUGGGCGAAAGCCUGACCCAGCAACGCCGCGUGAAGGAUGAAGUAUUUCGGUAUGUAAACUUCGAAAGAAUAGGAAGAAUUAAUGACGGUACUAUUUAUAAGGUCCGGCUAACUACGUGCCAGCCGCCGCAGUAACAC
rnacentral:rRNA from 1 species